rfam:Oryza glumipatula chromosome 3, whole genome shotgun sequence.
UACAAGUGCAACCAUGAGUUUCUACGUCUAAAUUUGAUCGUCCGUCUUAUUUGAAAUUUUUUUAUAAUUAGUAUUUUUGUUGUUAUGAGAUGAUAAAAUAUGAAUAGUACUUUACUCGUGACUUAUGUUUUUAAUUAUUUUUAAAAAAUUUUCAAAUAAGACGGACGAUCAAAGUUGGGUGUGGGAAACCAUGGCUGUACUUAAA